rnacentral:rRNA from 1 species
CCUACGGGCGGCAGCAGUGGGGAAUAUUGGACAAUGGGCGAAAGCCUGAUCCAGCCAUGCCGCGUGUGUGAAGAAGGCCUUCGGGUUGUAAAGCACUUUCAGUGGGGAAGAAAGCCUUGGGGCUAAUACCCUCGAGGAAGGACAUCACCCACAGAAGAAGCACCGGCUAACUCCGUGCCAGCAGCCGCGGUAAUACGGAGGGUGCGAGCGUUAAUCGGAAUUACUGGGCGUAAAGCGCGCGUAGGCGGUCUGAUAAGCCGGUUGUGAAAGCCCCGGGCUCAACCUGGGAACGGCAUCCGGAACUGUCAGGCUAGAGUGCAGGAGAGGAAGGUAGAAUUCCCGGUGUAGCGGUGAAAUGCGUAGAGAUCGGGAGGAAUACCAUUGGCGAAGGCGGCCUUCUGGACUGACACUGACGCUGAGGUGCGAAAGCGUGGGUAGCAAACAGGAUUAGAUACCCGUGUAGUC